GGACAGAGCAGUGCUGUGAGGAGCCCCCACACAGCCAGCUCAUUCCUUGCUGACCCAGAGCUUUUCCGAGGCAUUACUCCUGCGGCUGGUCUCACGGCCAGACCUCGGGACUCACUGACUUGGAGCUUUUCCAAGGAAUCUCCCAUCCCUGCGGCCGGUGCCUUCGUGGCCAGGCUGUGGGACUUGGUGACAUCCAUCGUUCACGACGAGUCUCCUGUCAUUGUGGCAGGAGCCCUCGGGAACACAGUGCAGGACUUGCUGUCCUGUAGUCUUUCUGAGGCCUCUCUGUUGCAGGUGCCUGCAAGGCGUGACUGCGGCAUCGCUGACUUGGACCUUUGCCAAGGCGUCUGUCUCGAAGGUGUCCUCAAGGUCGGACAGCAGGAUGGCGAAGAAAAAGAACGGCCCUGCAGCUGCCCCAGCUCAGAAGCCUGCAGAACCAGAGCAGUUGCAGCCACUGCAGGAUGAUGCAGCCAAGGACCAGACUCAAGAGCAGGACCCCACCCGCGGCCGCUUCCGCAGAGCAGUGCAGGCACUGCGGAGGUUCCUGCGCAUUUGGCGCAGAAAGACCAGAGCCAGCGUGACCAAGGG